CAGUAGCCGCGGUAAUACGAGGGGGGCAAGCGUUGUCCGGAAUUAUUGGGCGUAAAGGGCUCGCAGGCGGUUUCUUAAGUCUGAUGUGAAAGCCCCCGGCUCAACCGGGGAGGGUCAUUGGAAACUGGGAAACUUGAGUGCAGAAGAGGAGAGUGGAAUUCCACGUGUAGCGGUGAAAUGCGUAGAGAUGUGGAGGAACACCAGUGGCGAAGGCGACUCUCUGGUCUGUAACUGACGCUGAGGAGCGAAAGCGUGGGGAGCAAACAGGAUUAGAUACCCCAGUAGUCCCUGUCUCUUAUAC
rnacentral:rRNA from 1 species